UUCUGUUCAAAGUAAUGCGACUACACUGUUCGCCUGCUCCCAUCCACUGGAAUAUGCACUUUUGUUUCAUGACCAGUAUUUUUACUCAGAGUCUUUUGAAGUACCACAAACAUGAGUUGUAGCAGGACACCACUCUUCUUCUAAGCUGCUCCGUGGGACAGAUGGAAGGACACCAGUGCAUGUCCACAUGUGCAGCUGAUGACCCUAGGAAGAUGGAGCCUCACCCCCACAGUUUGAAGGUUUAGUCUCCUCACCCAUGGGGUCUCACUCUCUCACAUUUGCCCUUUCUAGACACUUGGUGGAUAUUUCUUAAAACUAGAUGCCAGAGCCAGGGUGAAGGUGUGUGCCGAUAAUCCCGGGACUGUGGAGGCUUAGAUUGGAGAGUAGCCAUAGACUCAAGGCCAUCCUGGGUGAUAUAAGGAACAGUAAUCUAGCUUGGUUGCAGUGUGAGAUCUCUCUCUUUAAAAACUGAAAGUGAACAGCAGGACUAGUGUCGGUGUGUCCAUCGUGCACAUAGGUUCUUGUUCCUGGGUUCUUGCCCAGCACAAAAUCAAACCAGGUGGAGCUUGCCUGGUAUUGGGGUUGGAGACAAGAGGAUCAGGCAGUCAAGGUAUGUUCCAACACAAAGAUUGAAGCCAGUGUGGGAGGAAUGACACUAUUUUAAAUAAACAAUCCCUACUCUCAAAUCUUAAUGCCCAUAUCUAAGAAAACAAUGACAUGGCAUCCCAUCACAACCGCAUAUUCCUUGUGAAUCCGAAUACCGUUUAAAUGGAGAAAUGAAAACGGAGCAUCCAGAUGCGCAGUGAAUAUUUUGUGUGACUCACAUCAGGAAUUGGCCUGAGCAUUGCGUUCAUCCCUUGUGCACUGCACUGAGGAGCUGUUCGCUUGAGACUAGGCAGACGGCCCGGCACAAGGACAAAUGAAAAUCACCUUCAUCAAUUCUACUAACAUCCCCCCAAAAUUAUUGAGCUAUGUUUAUUCUGUUAGAAAUAAAAUGCAUUGUUCCAAGAAA
rnacentral:lncRNA from 1 species